rnacentral:ncRNA from 2 species
UUAAGUUUGCAUUUUGAUGUUUUCUGUAAGGAUGUAGUAUGUUUAAACUUUAUUAACUAAUGUUCAAAACUGCGAUGUGUGCAUAGAAUAUUACGUAUGCAUGUUCAUGUCUAAAGAAUGGCUGUUGAUGAUAAAAUAAAAAUCAGCUUUCAUUUUUC